AACUAUGCAAUGUGGUUUCAAGACAUGACAUCAAGGACAAGAAAGCCAUGGGAACGGUGCCACAGGCUUAUCCACAUUUGAUUAUUAACAAUUUCACGACUAAGUUGGGUGAGCGGACAGCAAAUAUUUUAAAGCAUCUUUUUCCAGUGCCAAAGCCAGAUACCAAACGCAUAAUUACUUUUUUCGAAUGAGCAGGACUACAUUUCAUUCAGGCAUCAUAUUUAUGACAAGCCUGGAGGUCCUAAAUCCAUUGAGCUGAAGGAGCUUGGUCCGCGGUUUGAGUUGAAGCUUUUCAAGAUAAAGUUAGGAACAGUGGAUCAGAAUGAAGCCCAGAAUGAAUGGGUCCUCAAACAGUACAUGAACACAGCCAGCAAGAAACAGAAUUUUAUAGGGAAUUGAUGCAUUUAAGUUUUUAGUUACAAUUUUGGUAACCAGUCCUUUGUUAUCUCUUUUUUGGUUUGUUGAUAUAAUAAGCAUGUAUUCAUAACAACCUAUCUGUAUGAUUGUUUUUUCAUAAUUGAUUUCAUUUUGUUUCCAUUUCCGGACGAAAGCGGUGUCAAAUAGUCUCCCUGAAACUACAUGCCAAAUAAGAGAUCUUUUUUUUUUCCCAACCAUCUGAAGCUUGUUUUGAUGGGUAUGAAAGAAAAGCCUAGAAAUUGAGGGGGAAAGAAAAAAAAA